rnacentral:rRNA from 1 species
AGAGUUUGAUCAUGGCUCAGGAUGAACGCUAGCGGGAGGCUUAACACAUGCAAGUCGAGGGGUAACAGGAGUAGCAAUACUUGCUGACGACCGGCGCACGGGUGAGUAACGCGUAUGCAACCUGCCCUUUACUGGAAGAUAGCCCGGAGAAAUUCGGAUUAAUAUUCCAUAGUACAUAUUUGUUGCAUAACAGAUAUGUUAAAGUUCCGACGGUAAAGGAUGGGCAUGCGUCCCAUUAGCUAGUUGGUGAGGUAACGGCUCACCAAGGCGACGAUGGGUAUGGGGUCUAAAAGGAUGGUCCCACACACUGGCACUGAGAUACGGGCCAGACUCCUACGGGAGGCAGCAGUGAGGAAUAUUGGUCAAUGGGCGGAAGCCUGAACCAGCCAUCCCGCGUGCAGGAUGAAGCCCUAGAGGUUGUAAACUGCUUUUCUGCAGGAAGAAUAAGGACUACGUGUAGUUCGAUGACUGUACUGUAGGAAUAAGCAUCGGCUAACUCCGUGCCAGCAGCCGCGGUAAUACGGAGGAUGCAAGCGUUAUCCGGAUUUAUUAGGUUUAAAGGGUGCGUAGGCGGAGACUUAAGUCAGUGGUAAAAGGCAAUAGCUUAACUAAUGUAAGCCAUUGAUACUGGGUUUCUUGAGUUCGGUAGAGGUAGGCGGAAUGUGUUGUGUAGCGGUGAAAUGCAUAGAUAUAACACAGAACACCGAUUGCGAAGGCAGCUUACUAUGCCGUUACUGACGCUGAUGCACGAAAGCGUGGGGAUCAAACAGGAUUAGAUACCCUGGUAGUCCACGCUGUAAACGAUGAUCACUCGUUGUUGGCGAUACACCGUCAGCGACUGAGCGAAAGCAUUAAGUGAUCCACCUGGGGAGUACGUUCGCAAGAAUGAAACUCAAAGGAAUUGACGG